GAGCUGAGGAGUUUAUGGUGAAUGUUAUCAAAUGGAUCAGGUUUGAGUUUUAUUUUGAAGGUGGCUUUGGACUGGAAAUCAUCACUUGUAUGUGGCAGCAGAGCAGAUAUUUGGUCACAUGAUCUCUCACGAGCAGCUUCCUGCAACACAGGUUAGCUUAGCUCUUAGCAUCACUGAGGUU